GAAACGUCACCUAUCCAUGUUCUCCACAGAUGCUGCCUGAUCCGCUGAGUUACUCCAGCACUUUGUCUCCUUUUGUGUAUUAAGCAGCACUUUCAGUUCCUUGUUGCUAACUACAUGAUGAUGAGGAGG